rnacentral:rRNA from 1 species
GGAGUCUAGCAUGUGCGCGAGUCACUGGGACCAAACGAAACCCAAAGGCGAAAUGAAAGUAAAAGAACGCUCCGCGUUCCUAGGGAAGAUGGGCCGCGCCUCGACGCGGCCUCGCACUCCCGGGGCGUCUCGAUCUCAUCGCGAGAAGAGGCGCACCCAGAGCGUACACGCUGGGACCCGAAAGAUGGUGAACUAUGCCUGGUCAGGAUGAAGUCAGGGGAAACCCUGAUGGAGGUCCGUAGCGAUUCUGACGUGCAAAUCGAUCGCAGGAACUGGGUAUAGGGGCGAAAGACUAAUCGAACCAUCUAGUAGCUGGUUCCAUCCGAAGUUUCCCUCAGGAUAGCUGGCGCUCGCUUUUGCGAGUCUCAUCCGGUAAAGCGAAUGAUUAGAGGCAUUGGGGUCGAAACGGCCUCAACCUAUUCUCAAACUUUAAAUGGGUGAGAUCUCCGGCUUGCUUAGUGCGUGAAGCCGGAGAUCGGAUCAGAGUGCCAAGUGGGCCAUUUUUGGUAAGCAGAACUGGCGCUGUGGGAUGAACCAAACGCAGAGUUAAAGCGCCUAAAUCGACGCUUAUGGGAUACCAUGAAAGGCGUUGGUAACUUAAGACAUCAGGACGGUGGCCAUGGAA